UCCCUCCCGAUCCCUUUCCCAUCAGAUCUGAAUACCGAUCUUGUGGUCGAAAAAGGAGGAAAAAUAAAAUUCAGACUGGCCUUGGCCUCUUUGCUGGCUCGGCCCUGCUCUGAGUGGGGCCAGUUUGAAGACAAUG
rfam:Colinus virginianus strain Texas jcf7180006227223, whole genome shotgun sequence.